GCUCAGGCAAACACAUAUUCUAUACUAAGGAACUCGGCAAAUUUCUUGCGUAUCUUUGGUAGAAGCAAGCCCGAUUUUUUUCCUCUUUAAAUUUCUGAGGUUGGGUAAAUAGGGGGCACAAAAUAGGGGUGGGGAUCUGUUUAGCAAAAACACAGGACUUUGCCACGUGAAAACACUAAGUAUAAGGUCUGAUGCCUGCCCGGUACCAAGGGAUAAGAAUUUUUUGUGCAAAGCAAAAAACCUAAAGGACUGGUAAACGGCAGCCCUAACUCUGAGGGUUCUAAGGUAAGCGAAAUUCCUUGUCGAAUAAUUGUCGACCCGCAUGAAUGGCAUCAUCACCCACCCACUGUCUCAGUAUAGAUGUGGGCGAAUUUGACAUUCUCGUGAAGAGGCGAGAAUACUGCCACGGGACAAUGAGACCCCGUGCACCUUUACUCUAAGCUGAAAGCGCAUUCUUUUGAAUAUCUUUUUCAGAAUAGGUGGCAGUUUAAAUACGCAAGUGAGAUACCACCAUUGAUAUUGAAAAAAGCUUAGAGAAUAUUUAUUUUCUCUAUUUUUUAGCUUGGGAGUUUGUCUGGGGCGGAAUCCUCCAAAAAAAUAUCGGGGGUGUACCAAGGUAUGGUCAAACUAUUUUUAUGGUAAAUAAGUGAGUAUGAUAACCCAUUCACCAUGCCUGACUGUUAGGCUUUCAAGCCAAGCAGGGUGUUUGUUCCUUUAUUUCAUAAAGGAAUAACACAUUCUAUUCUAUUUUACGGGACCCCGUGAAAGAAAUUAGAAUUACGAAAGUAUGUGGUAAUGAACCAGCACUUUGUAGUGGAAUAAAGUGUUGAUCAACGGAUCAAAGGUACGCCGGGGAUAACAGGUUUAUCAACCCCUAGAGUUCAAAUCGCCGGGUUGGUUUGAUAAAGAAAAGGUCGGCUCAUCGCGUCCUCUAGCUGAAGAAGGUUAGAAGGGUUAGACUGUUCGUCUAUGAAAGCGGUACGUGAGCUGGGUUCAGUGCGUGGUGACACAGCACGGUUCUUCUCUGUGGCAGUUUUAUGGACGAAAUGCAAAGGCUUUAUAGUACGAAAGGACCUUUAAGCCCACACCUCUGGUACAUCAGUUGUAUUCAAAUAAAGUGCAUUGCUGAGCAGCUAAGUGUGUAAACAAAAUGGUUGAAAGCAUCUGAAACCAGAAAGAAAUGCAUAAUAAAGUCUCUUUUUUUGGUUCUAUACUUGAACCGAAUCGGUAUCGUGUAAACUCAAUGAAAAUUUAU
rnacentral:rRNA from 1 species